rnacentral:rRNA from 1 species
AUUGAACGCUGGCGGCAUGCCUUACACAUGCAAGUCGAACGGCAGCACGGGAGCAAUCCUGGUGGCGAGUGGCGAACGGGUGAGUAAUGUAUCGGAACGUGCCCAGUCGUGGGGGAUAACGUAGCGAAAGCUACGCUAAUACCGCAUACGAUCUAUGGAUGAAAGCGGGGGACCGUAAGGCCUCGCGCGAUUGGAGCGGCCGAUAUCAGAUUAGGUAGUUGGUGGGGUAAAGGCCUACCAAGCCGACGAUCUGUAGCUGGUCUGAGAGGACGACCAGCCACACUGGGACUGAGACACGGCCCAGACUCCUACGGGAGGCAGCAGUGGGGAAUUUUGGACAAUGGGCGCAAGCCUGAUCCAGCAAUGCCGCGUGCAGGAUGAAGGCCUUCGGGUUGUAAACUGCUUUUGUACGGAGCGAAAAGGCUCUCUCUAAUACAGGGGGCUCAUGACGGUACCGUAAGAAUAAGCACCGGCUAACUACGUGCCAGCAGCCGCCGUAACAC